CAGUAGCCGCGGUAAUACGAAGGGUGCAAGCGUUAAUCGGAAUUACUGGGCGUAAAGCGUGCGUAGGCGGUUUGUUAAGUCUGCUGUGAAAUCCCCGGGCUCAACCUGGGAAUGGCAGUGGAUACUGGCAGGCUAGAGUGUGUCAGAGGAUGGUGGAAUUCCCGGUGUAGCGGUGAAAUGCGUAGAGAUCGGGAGGAACAUCAGUGGCGAAGGCGGCCAUCUGGGACAACACUGACGCUGAGGCACGAAAGCGUGGGGAGCAAACAGGAUUAGAUACCCGCGUAGUCCCUGUCUCUUAUAC
rnacentral:rRNA from 1 species